rnacentral:rRNA from 1 species
AUUGAACGCUGGCGGCAGGCCUAACACAUGCAAGUCGAGCGGUAACAGGGGAAGCUUGCUUCCCGCUGACGAGCGGCGGACGGGUGAGUAAUGUAUGGGGAUCUGCCCGAUAGAGGGGGAUAACCACUGGAAACGGUGGCUAAUACCGCAUAAUCUCUUAGGAGCAAAGCAGGGGAACUUCGGUCCUUGCGCUAUCGGAUGAACCCAUAUGGGAUUAGCUAGUAGGUGGGGUAAUGGCUCACCUAGGCGACGAUCCCUAGCUGGUCUGA